ACGGGAGGCAGCAGUGGGGGAUAUUGCACAAUGGGGGAAACCCUGAUGCAGUGACGCCGCGUGAGCGAUGAAGUAUUUCGGUAUGUAAAGCUCUAUCAGCAGGGAAGAAAAUGACGGUACCUGACUAAGAAGCUCCGGCUAAAUACGUGCCAGCAGCCGCGGUAAUACGUAUGGAGCAAGCGUUAUCCGGAUUUACUGGGUGUAAAGGGAGCGUAGACGGUUUGCCAAGUCUGAUGUGAAAGGUGGGGGCUCAACCCCCAAACUGCAUUGGAAACUGGUAAACUAGAGUGUCGGAGAGGUAAGUGGAAUUCCUAGUGUAGCGGUGAAAUGCGUAGAUAUUAGGAGGAAUACCAGUGGCGAAGGCGUCUUUCUGGACUGUUACUGACACUGAGGCACGAAAGCGUGGGGAGCAAACAGGAUUAGAUACCCUGGUA
rnacentral:rRNA from 1 species